rnacentral:rRNA from 1 species
CGGGACGGGUGAGUAAUGUCUGGGAAACUGCCCGAUGGAGGGGGAUAACUACUGGAAACGGUAGCUAAUACCGCAUAACGUCGCAAGACCAAGAGGGGGACCUUCGGGCCUCUUGCCAUCGGAUGUGCCCAGAUGGGAUUAGCUAGUAGGUGGGGUAAUGGCUCACCUAGGCGACGAUCCCUAGCUGGUCUGAGAGGAUGACCAGCCACACUGGAACUGAGACACGGUCCAG